GACGUAGGUGGCGAACGUUAUCCGGAAUUAUUGGGCGUAAAGGAUGCGUAGAUGGUGUAGUAAGUUAUCGGGUGGCAAAUCGAGGCUCAACCUCGUGGAAGUCGGUAAUACUGCUAUGCUAGAGGAUAGGAGAGGUUAACGGAACUCCCUGUGGAGCGGUGAAAUGCGUAGAUAUAGGGAAGAACACCAAUCAGGCGAAGGCAGUUAACUAUUCUAUUCCUGACAUUGAGGCAUGAAAGCGUGGGGAGCAAAACGG
rnacentral:rRNA from 1 species